rnacentral:rRNA from 1 species
CAGAGUCGGGGUCCUCGUGGCCCAAACUCCCAACCCUUUGUGAACCCGAACCUCGUUGCUUCGGGGGCGACCCCGCCGUUCCGGCGGCGGCGCCCCCGGUGGCCAUCAAAAACUCCUGCAUCUUUACGUCGGAGUACACAGUUAAUUAAACAAAACUUUCAACAACGGAUCUCUUGGUUCUGGCAUCGAUGAAGAACGCAGCGAAAUGCGAUAAGUAAUGUGAAUUGCAGAAUUCAGUGAAUCAUCGAAUCUUUGAACGCACAUUGCGCCCCGUGGUAUUCCGCGGGGCAUGCCUGUUCGAGCGUCAUUUCACCACUCAAGCCAGGCUUGGUAUUGGGCAUCGUGGUUCGCCGCGUGCCUCAAAGUCUGCGGCUGAGCCGUCCGUCUCCCAGCGUCGUGCAAAUCUCGCAGGUGGGCUCGGGCGGUCGCGGCCGUUAAAUCCUUUACAGGUUGACCUCGGAUCAGGUAGGGAUACCCGCUGAACUUAAGCAUA